UUGAGUCAGUAUCUUGCUCCCAGACUGGAGUGCAGUGGUGCAAUAAUGGCUUGCUGCAGCCUCAACCUCCUGGGCUCAAACAAUCCUCCUCCCUCAGCCUCCCAAAGUGCUAGGAUUACAGAUGAGAGCCACUGUGCUUAUCCAGCAUUAGAACUCACUUUUCAAGGUUACUCUGGAAUCCUAUUGGCUGAGAGAUGGCCAAUUCAGUCAGUUUGGGUACUUAGAAUUUUAGUUUACACUAGGAAUAAUUGGCCAUACAAGCUCCUCCAGAAAAGCAGCCAGAUCUUUUAUAUUGUGCUUGUAUGAGGCCUGACCUCAUUUCCAAGUCUCCCCUGGAGGAACCCUUGUGAGGACAGACACAAAUAUACGGCAAGGUGGGCCUUUCCAAACAGCUUAAUCAGGACCUCUUGAAGACAGAAAAUCUUUCAAAAAUCCUUCUGUCCUUCUGCCAUGGGAUGACCCUCAUCAGAUGUUGGUGCCAUGCUCUUGGACUUCUCAGCCUCCAGAAUUGU
rnacentral:lncRNA from 10 species